AAAUGAAGGUUCUGGAGGCCUUCCCCUUCCCUUUUCUCCCUGGGACACAGACGCCAUCUGAGGAGCGGCGCAGGAAGCUCAGCUCCGAGGUGUCGAUUUCUUUCCCUUUUGAGUCUCCAACGUUGGAGAUGGGGGUUUCGACUCUGAGUACUGGGUCGGGAAGGAGUUCGUCGUCGUCAUCUGUGGAUUUGCGGUGAUUUGUGGGGGGAGGAGGUCUGUUUGGUUGUCAAAGUGGAGCCACAGUCCGUAUAGAUUCAAUGGCUCUGGUGUCUCUGAUGUGCAGUGGGCUUGGUCGUGGCCUAGGAUGCCAUAGUCGUAACAGAAAGUCUUAAGAUAUUCAUAUUUGAAGAACACCCAGGUAGACGUUCCGUUUUUCCAGUUGAUGCGUCGUCUAGGGCACAGAGGCAUGGCGACUGGGAUUUGAACAAGGGCUCUCAGGGUGACGUACCACUUCGGGAGAUAGGGAGUGUCUUUCCAAUCGAUCUCCAAGACUUUACCCGCCCGUUCGGCAAGUUUGGUGAUAUUCAGCUUUGAAAGCAUUUAGGGGGGAUACCUCUGAUCUGAAUCCAUAAGAUAAUCGUCUCGAAUUUGAUUUCCUCCGAUGAUAAACCCUUGUCCAAGCAUGCUAGCAUCAUGUGUGCUCCUUGAACCGACCAAACACGGAGUCUGGGGAUGAUUACUUUUGGUGGUGGUGAUUUGAAGCCAAAGGGCUUGAUGAGGAGUGUUAAGGGAAGUGUUUCCUGCGUUUCUUCUUCAUUAGUUUGCAGCUCGAGUACUUCUUGACUUUGAUCCAUGGUCAUUUGGUUGCAGAAUAUCUCGACUAAUGAGGCAUCAAGGUCGUUGUUCUCCAUAGGUGGUGGCAGUGGAGUAUCCUGUGGAUUCAGGGAGGAUUUGGGAGGGGUGGAGAGGAAGUGUGAUUGCUUGUCUGUGGGAGUUGCUUGUGGUGAAGAUUUUGUUGCGGUGUGAAGAAAGGUGGUGAUUGACAUUCCUUCCAUGCAUUGGGUAGUUGAAGGUCCAUGAAUGCUUUCAUGGAGGUGAAGAAUCGAAGAGAGGCAGACCGUUUCCAACAAAGGGAAAAUUUUAGAGAGAGAAGCUCUCAACUAGGAAAGAGAAUAAGAAACAAAAAUGAGAAAAGAGAUUAGAGAAAUUCCAUACACUGAAAAAAAGGGGCCCCUAAGGUGGAAUAGAAUUUUUACGAGGGCACAAGACAAUUCGAUCAAAAUAACAAACCCAAAUGGGACUUCAGGGACAAGAGCAUUCUUAGAAAGCUGAGAUUUUGUUAUGAGUUUGGUGGAACACUUUGAAUGAGAUUUCAGAAGUACGUGGCUAUACAAGGCCAAGAUUACAAGAGUAA